GAUGAACGCUAGCUACAGGCUUAACACAUGCAAGUCGAGGGGUAACGAGAGGAAAGCUUGCUUUCCUUGUCGACGACCGGCGCACGGGUGAGUAACGCGUAUCCAACCUGCCCCCAACUAGGGAAUAACCUUGCGAAAGUAAGACUAAUACCUAUAAUUUCCUCAGAUUGCAUCUGAAGAGGAAUAAAGAUUUAUCGGUUGUGGAUGGGGAUGCGUCCGAUUAGCUUGUUGGCGGGGUAACGGCCCACCAAGGCAACGAUCAGUAGGGGUUCUGAGAGGAAGGUCCCCCACAUUGGAACUGAGACACGGUCCAAACUCCUACGGGAGGCAGCAGUGAGGAAUAUUGGUCAAUGGGCGGAAGCCUGAACCAGCCAAGUAGCGUGCAGGAUGACGGCCCUAUGGGUUGUAAACUGCUUUUAUACAGGAAUAAAGUUAGCCACGUGUGGUUAUUUGUAGGUACUGUAUGAAUAAGGACCGGCUAAUUCCGUGCCAGCCGCCGCUGUAA
rnacentral:rRNA from 1 species